rnacentral:misc_RNA from 1 species
GAUGAAGAACGCAGCGAAAUGCGAUAAGUAAUGUGAAUUGCAGAAUUCAGUGAAUCAUCGAAUCUUUGAACGCACAUUGCGCCCGGCAGUACUCUGCCGGGCAUGCCUGUUCGAGCGUCAUUUCAACCCUCAAGCCCUGCUUGGUGUUGGGGUCCCACGGCCGCCGUGGGCCCUGAAAGGAAGUGGCGGGCUCGCUACAACUCCGAGCGUAGUAAUUCAUUAUCUCGCUUAGGGCGUUGGGCGGCGCUCCUGCCGUUAAAGAACCAUCUUUAACUCAAGGUUGACCUCGGAUCAGGUAGGAAUGCCCGCUGAACUUAAGCAUAUCAAUAAGCGGAGGA